GACGAACGCUGGCGGCGUGCUUAACACAUGCAAGUCGAACGGAAAGGCCCUGCUCUUGUUGGGUGCUCGUUUGGCGAACGGGUGUGUAACACGUGAGUAUCCUCCCCUUGACUUUCUGAUAUCUUCCCGAAACUGGGGCUAAUACCCGAUAUAAGCUCCUGCUCCAUGUUGGGGUUUGGAAAGUUUUGGCUGUUCGGGAUGGACUCGCGGCUUAUCAGCUUGUUGGUGGGGUAGUUGCUGACCAAGGCUUUGAAGGGUAGCCGGCCUGAGAGGGUUACCGGCGACAUGGGGACUGAGAUACGGACCAGAAUCCUACGGGAGGCAGCAGGGGGGAAUAUUGCACAAUGGGCGGAAGCCUGAGGCAGAAACGCCGCGUGCGGGAUGACGGCCUUCGGGGUGUAAACCGCUUUCGCCUGUGACGAAGAGGGAGUGACGGUAAUGGGUAAAGAAGCACCGGCUAACUACGUG
rnacentral:rRNA from 1 species